UUAAUACGAUUAAUCACUUUAUUCAAAUUGAGGAUUUUGUUCAAAGACUUUUCUUUUUUUUGGUGAUCACGUCAUAAAAUAUAACAACAAACAUUCAAAGCUUCAUUAAAAAACCUCAAUAGAAGCUUAGAAUGUAAAAAAAUAUAAAUACAUUCGAUACAGCCCACACUUUAUUUGGCCUGUCAAAUGUUAAAACUCAACAUAAGUUGUGUGUGUGUGUGUGUGUGUGUGUGUGUGUGUGUGUGUGUGUGUGUGUGUGUGUGUGUGUGUGUGUGUGUGUGUGUGUGUGUGUGUGUGUGUGUGUGUGUAUUGCAGGCCCAGCAGAUGACCAUGCAGGCCAUUGCGAUCCAGCAGCAGAUGUUGUCCGUCUUCCCCCCCGUUGCCCCGGCGCCCCAGUCACCGCCCUCACAGCAUUACACACACUUACCACAACACACAACCAGCCCUACCACAGAGAGUGAAGAGUCGCCGUACAAGUCUGCCGCUGUUCAGAGAAAAAUUAGUCCGACACGUGGCCCCCCUCCUGAGGACAUGGUCCAAUCCGGUCCGAGUAACAUGGAGCGCAUUGAUCCC
rnacentral:lncRNA from 1 species